UUAUAAGAGAAUAAUGGAAUGUGCUUGAUCUAUUACCUUUUUUUUCCAAUACAUAAAUACAAUGCGGGGGAAAUGACUGCUGCAGACAGGAGGAAAUGUUUUUUUGAAUGUUUUUGAUGAGAGGGAAAAUGAAGCUGGGAGCUGCAGGGUCAUUAAUGGGCGAUGAGCGCAGAGGUCAUCUCUCACAUUCUCUUUGACAUUUCUCUCAUCUGACGUGCACAAACCGUCGCAGCCUCGUGCACGCUCUCCAUCCGCUCAUCUACCGCCAGCCUCACUCGAUCGCACUUUUAAUGGAAACUUAGUUUGGCGGCGUGUUGGCGUCACAACUUCGUGGGCUGACUUUAACUGUGGCGGCGUGGUUGCUGUCUUCACUCCAUAGCACCAUCCGUGCUCCCAUACCUGCCAAUCACCAACCUCCAGGAAUCAGGCGUGAGGAACAUCUUCAUACGCGACGCCACAGAGCUGUGAAAGUGCUCGGCAGCAGAUCCUCCGACCGACUUGGACCCAAACGCCAUGACCUCACAGUGGAAGAAGAACAAAGGGAGGCUUUUUGAUACGCAGCGUGGUGAGCGCAGAGGAGUGAGCAGAAAUCACGCUGCUCCAAACAUUUCAUAAUGCAGACAUACAACUUAAUUGCGAUUGUGCGUGGUUGUUUGGUUCCUUAUUUACUCCAACAACUUUGUUACAGAGCCACACGUCAAACUAUUUACACGCUGGUGUAAGCACUUACGGCUACGACUCUUUCUGCUUGACAACGGCCAUAAACACAGGAGUAAGAGAUCAAAACUGUUCAUCAGAGAGCGUGACAGAUGACAGAUAUGGCAAGAGAUUUUCCAUGAUCUUCUGCACACAUGGGGGGAGGGGGGACUUCAAGGGACGGAGGAGGGGAAGGAAAAAAGGAGCUCGGAGAAAAGUUGGUUUCCACACGAGGAGGUGCAGCGGCUCAAGAAAUGAGAAAGUCAGAAAGUUGCCACCAACAGUGACGAUGGGAUCAGCGUGUGCUGCAGACGGGCUGGGCUUCCUUCCCUUUACGGGUGGGGGGUCAGCCAUUAACUAGUCACAUGAAUGGUGAAAUAAUUUUUAAGUUUGAGUUUAGGAGAAGUCUUCUUUCAUUGAACCACUCUUUUUGGCUUACUCGAGGACAUUAAAGUACUGCAGUACUUGCUGGAAUGUGAGUUCGUACUGAAAAACGAUUUCCUAAAAGCUGUUGUUAAAGAUGUGCACAGAAACAUGACGUCAGCCGCCGACUGACAAAGUCAAACACAUUCAAACAUUCACACGUCUCCAAAGACUGGGGUCAAAGUUCAUGCUCAGCU